UCGCGACGGAGAGAGGAGAAGGGUCGUC
rnacentral:sRNA from 1 species